rnacentral:rRNA from 1 species
GUCCACGCUGUAAACGAUGAGAGCUAGUUGUCGGCACGCAUGCGUGUCGGUGACGCAGCUAACGCAUUAAGCUCUCCGCCUGGGGAGUACGGCCGCAAGGUUAAAACUCAAAGAAAUUGACGGGGGCCCCGCACAAGCGGUGGAGCAUGUGGUUUAAUUCGAAGCAACGCGAAGAACCUUACCCACGUUUGACAUGUCCAGUUUGGUCGGCAGAGAUGCCUUCCUUCACCUCGGGUGGCUGGAACACAGGUGCUGCAUGGCUGUCGU